rnacentral:rRNA from 1 species
GCUACGGGUGGCAGCAGUGGGGAAUAUUGCGCAAUGGGCGAAAGCCUGACGCAGCGACGCCGCGUGAGGGAUGAAGGUCUUCGGAUCGUAAACCUCUGUCAGCAGGGAAGAACGGUCACUGUGCUAAUCAGCAGUGAAUUGACGGUACCAGCAAAGGAAGCACCGGCUAACUCCGUGCCAGCAGCCGCGGUAAUACGGAGGGGGCGAGCGUUAAUCGGAAUUACUGGGCGUAAAGCGCUCGUAGGCGGUAUGUCCAGUCAAGGGUGAAAUCCCCGCGCUCAACGUGGGAACUGCCUUUGAAACUGGCAACCUGGAGUGUGUGAGCGGCUAGUGGAAUUCCAGGUGUAGGCGUGAACUCCGUAGAUCUCUGGAGGAACCUCAGUGGCGAAGGCGACUCUCUGGCACAUACCUGACGCUGAGGAGCGAACGCGUGGGUAGCAAACAGGAUUAGAUACCCCUGUAGUC